rnacentral:rRNA from 1 species
GACGAACGCUGGCGGCGUGCUUAACACAUGCAAGUCGAACGAAGAGCGAUGGAAGCUUGCUUCUAUCAAUCUUAGUGGCGAACGGGUGAGUAACGCGUAAUCAACCUGCCCUUCAGAGGGGGACAACAGUUGGAAACGACUGCUAAUACCGCAUACGAUCUAAUCUCGGCAUCGAGGAUAGAUGAAAGGUGGCCUCUACAUGUAAGCUAUCACUGAAGGAGGGGAUUGCGUCUGAUUAGCUAGUUGGAGGGGUAACGGCCCACCAAGGCGAUGAUCAGUAGCCGGUCUGAGAGGAUGAACGGCCACAUUGGGACUGAGACACGGCCCAGACUCCUACGGGAGGCAGCAGUGGGGAAUCUUCCGCAAUGGACGAAAGUCUGACGGAGCAACGCCGCGCGAGUGAUGACGGCCUUCGGGUUGUAAAGCUCUGUUAAUCGGGACGAAAGGCCUUCUUGCGAAUAGUGAGAAGGAUUGACGGUACCGGAAUAGAAAGCCACGGCUAACUACGUG